CCCAUGCAGACACCAGGACCUCCACUGGUUAGGUUUAAACUCAGGACAUGUUAUUUAGCCUCUUUAAUUCUUUGUUUCCUCAUAUGUAAAAGGAAAAUCAAAAUAGCUCUCCCUCACCAGGUUGUUGUGAAGAUUACCUGAGUGGUGAUGUCUGCCUGUGAAGUUCUCAGAACCAUUUCUAAUGCACCCUAAAUCCUCAAAAAAA
rnacentral:lncRNA from 1 species